rnacentral:lncRNA from 1 species
AUUAUUAAAGGCAACCAAAUCUGAGUUCUUUGAAUUCUUUUAACUUGACAGUAUGUGCUGAGCAAACGGGUUUAUUAAGCAAGCUGCUUGUAAGGCAUGAUACCUUGGUUCAGACACUAACCUGUGUUUUAUGAAGUUUAAACUUAUAAGUCAUGCUGAGUGUAAUUUUUAAGGUAAUAAAGAUAAGGUAAUGAAUGGAACACUAUACCUUGUGUUAAAAAAUUAAUCUCUAACUGGAUGACCUCGACUUAACCCUCGAUUUUUAAGGCUAUAAAAUUUGUAGUUAUGGCAAGGUAGAAGGAUAUUAUAACAGAUGUCUUCUAUUUCCUUCAUUGGUAUUUAUGCCAAAAAACUGUACAAUGAAGGUCCUAUAUACAUUUAAGACAUUGUUCUUUUAGCAGGCUUGAACCUCAUAGUGAGAUUCAAAGACUAAGAGAAUGCUUCCAAGAACCUGAAGGAGGAAAGGAGACGGCUUAGUUUUAUUACAGAUGGCUGCCAGCUUCAGGAUGUGCCUCAGUCUUUUUCCAUUGUUUCCAUUGUGACUGUUAACUGCAGAAACCCAGCCCAGAACCGAGGAUCCCAGGAUCUGCAUGUUGCAAGUGAUACCAAAGAGGUUUGUCAUAGCUUUUCUUCCAAGAAGGAUGCUUAUUCAGGCAAGCUGUUGUUGCCCAGACUUCAGAGGAAGGUUGGACAGAAACUUCUCAGCUCACAUUUGGAGUUACCAGAACAGUUUCCACGUGACUGCAAAAAACUUGACUUGGAAAGGAGUAAAACUCAGAGGAGGCCUUGGAUGAUGGUAAGUCUAGCAAGAAAGGACAGUCACCCUGGGUCAAGGCCAAAGGAGGGGCCAGCUGCAUCUAAGCGGAAUAGAAGUGAAGCCAUCCAAGAACAGACUGCUUAA